AGCCCGGGGCCACAGCCGCUGCGCCCCUCCACAGUGGAGGAUCUGCUCCAGGGCCCUGCACUCGCACAGCAGUUUCCUGUGCUCGCAUGCUAGUGUGGCUCAAGAACUUUCAGAUUGCACACUCAUACUUUACUCAGCUCUGUCAGGAUCCCUGGGUCUGCACAGAAUGUCAGUCCUGACUUGUGAAAAGCAGGCUAGGGGGAUGGAGCCUCAGCAUGCCUAAGCCAGGCCUCCUGGGGGAGCUGGGGCUGGCUCCUGCGGCCUCCUGGGCUCACCUUGCUGCCUUGUCUUGCCUCAGCCUCUCCCUCUGCCCACACCUCGAGGUGCCAGCCGAGGUUCCUAGAGGCAGGAGUGGCCCAGAGGCGAUCCGAAACCCCACGGACGCUUACUUGGUGGCACAGCCUCCUCUGAGAGUUUCCACAAGCAAGGACCCUGGUGUGUUCCACCACCGACCCUGAGGCCUGUGAGGAAACCCAGGGCUGGACUCCAGGCUGCUCAGUGUGGGAGAGUCUCAGAGAACUCCAGAGGGUGACACUCACACCCGACAAGGAGACAUUGCCCUGUGUAUGUGUUGGGGGCUGGGGGGGAGUUGGGCUGUCAGCGGAGAUGCCCUUGGGUGGCACCCGUCCAUAUGGGCUUUUCUUUUCAGAAGUCUGCAGAGCUGGGUCUGGAAGCUAGGGCAGCAACAUGAUUUAGCAACACAGAAAAUAAUAUUUCUGCCAAGAGCCAUACCACCCUGAACAUGCCCCAUCUCAGCAGAUCUCAGAAGCUCAGCAGGGUCUGGCCUGGUUAGUACCUUGAUGGGAGACUGAGACUAUCAGGUGCUAUAGGCUUAAAAAAAAAUUCCAGUUUCUCCCUGCUCUAAACCCCUGCUCUUCAUUUCCUGACCAUUGCCUAAGGACCCAUUCAGAGGACUGGAAACCUCUGAAUGAGUCUCAGCCUCUCCCUUGCUUGCUCCUAAGGAGAGCUGGGUGUUAGCCAGCCAAGUCUGGGGUGCAGAAACUGUUGAGAGGACGAAGACAGGCAGGGUGGGCGGAGACAGGAAGGGAAGGAGAUUCCUGCUUCUUGGAUCAGCUUCUGAGCCCUCUUUUGUUUUGAAGAAUUCAGGUAAUGGGUAAAUAGGGAGAAAACUUUACAGUCCAUGUAAAAUGCUGAUAGAGCACAGACAGAAGAUGAAAAUAGGAAAGACUCAAAAGCUGGAAGUGAUGUGAAUGUUUGCCAUUUCAAGUGAAAGGCUAC
rnacentral:lncRNA from 10 species